AGGACGAACGCUGGCGGCGCGCUUAACACAUGCAAGUCGAGCGAGAACCUGGCCUUCGGGCCUGGGGAAAGCGGCGAACGGGUGAGUAACACGUGGGCAACCCACCCUUGGUACCGGGAUAGCCCGAGGAAACUCGGAUUAAUACCGGACGGCCCAGCAGCUCUUCGGGGCGGCUGGAAAAGGUAGCUUCGGCCUCCGACCAAGGACGGGCCCGCGGCGGAUUAGCUUGUUGGUGAGGUAACGGCUCACCAAGGCGACGAUCCGUAGCUGGUCUGAGAGGACGAUCAGCCACACUGGGACUGAGACACGGCCCAGACUCCUACGGGAGGCAGCAGUGGGGAAUAUUGCACAAUGGGGGGAAACCCUGAUGCAGCGACGCCGCGUGCGGGAUGAAGGCCUUCGGGUUGUAAACCGCUUUCAGCAGGGGCGAAUUCAGACGGUACUGCAGAAGAAGCGCCGCUAACUACGCGCCAGCAGCCGC
rnacentral:rRNA from 1 species